GUGCCCCGCGCGCGGCCUUUCACGCCGGGAUCCGGGUCCCGGUGCUUCUCGGUUCAUUCCCAGCUGGGUCCGGGCCCGGCCAGACUGGGUGGAAAUCUGGCUGACCUUGGUGGUCUGUCUUGGCCAGCUGGAGCAAAGGGAUGCCAGGGGACGGGUCUCGGUGCAGUGACUGCCAUUAGCUUGGGGCCGCAGAAAGUUUCUCCCCUUUCUCGGGCUCCUGCCAGGCCCUUGGCUUUCAGAGCCAGGCCCGAUUUCUAGAUAACAUUUAAGUUUGCAGAAAAGGGGAUGCCAAGUCACGGUGGUCACGGCUGUGGGAUGCAGCCUCUGAGAUUUGUAUUAAUUUUUGUGAGCCGGGGAAAGGCCUUGCUGCUUUCUCCGCCAGGACUGAUGUGUCUUCCCAAGAUGAAAGUGCCUGGUAAGGGCGAGGGGCCUCCCUGGGAAGGUCAUGAGCAUGUAAGGUAAUGGGGCCUAGACUGUGACUUUUGGCACGUUUAUGAGUGACAUCCCCCGGGAGGGCAAGGAUAACCAUUUGACCUGGUCUGUCAUAUUCAGGAAUAGACUUCAGUUUAGUUGUGGUAUUUUCUCCAAAAGAGAUUUGUGUAUAUAGCCCUAGAUAGUCUUGUCAAGAUUAAACCCAAUUUAAACUGUUAACUAUAAAAUAUUUUAGAAUUUUGUCUCAUUCUAGAAUGGCUUUAUUCGAAACAAAAAAAAA
ensembl:lncRNA novel transcript